AGAGUUUGAUCCUGGCUCAGAUCAACGCUGGCGGCGCGCCUAACACAUGCAAGUCGAACGAGAAAGUGGAGCAAUCCAUGAGUACAGUGGCGUACGGGUGAGUAACACGUGGGUAAUCUACCUUUUAGUGAGGAAUAACCCUGGGAAACCGGGGCUAAUACCGCAUAAGCCUGAGAAGGGAAAGUCGAAAGACGCUGAAAGAGGAGCCCGCGGCCGAUUAGCUAGUUGGUGAGGUAAGAGCCCACCAAGGCAGAGAUCGGUAGCCGGCCUGAGAGGGCACACGGCCACACUGGCACUGAAACACGGGCCAGACUCCUACGGGAGGCAGCAGUGGGGAAUCUUGCACAAUGGGGGAAACCCUGAUGCAGCGACGCCGCGUGAGCGAUGAAGCCCUUCGGGGUGUAAAGCUCUUUCGUCAGGGAAGAUAGUGACGGUACCUGGAGAAGCAGCUGCGGCUAACUACGUGCCAGCAGCCGCGGUAAUACGUAGGCAGCAAGCGUUGUUCGGAGUUACUGGGCGUAAAGGGUGUGUAGGCGGUUCUUUAAGUUUGGUGUGAAAUCUCCCGGCUCAACCGGGAGGGUGCGCCGAAUACUGAGGGACUAGAGUGCGGGAGAGGAAAGUGGAAUUCCUGGUGUAGCGGUGAAAUGCGUAGAUAUCAGGAGGAACACCGGUGGUGUAGACGGCUUUCUGGACCGUAACUGACGCUGAGACACGAAAGCGUGGGUAGCAAACAGGAUUAGAUACCCUAGUAGUCC
rnacentral:rRNA from 1 species